ACGAACGCUGGCGGCGUGCCUAAUACAUGCAAGUAGAACGCUGAAGAGAGGAGCUUGCUCUUCUUGGAAGAGUUGCGAACGGGUGAGUAACGCGUAGGUAACCUGCCUUGUAGCGGGGGAUAACUAUUGGAAACGAUAGCUAAUACCGCAUAACAAUGGGUGACCCAUGUCAUUCAUUUGAAAGGGGCAACUGCUCCACUACAAGAUGGACCUGCGUUGUAUUAGCUAGUAGGUGAGGUAACGGCUCACCUAGGCGACGAUACAUAGCCGACCUGAGAGGGUGAUCGGCCACACUGGGACUGAGACACGGCCCAGACUCCUACGGGAGGCAGCAGUAGGGAAUCUUCGGCAAUGGGGGCAACCCUGACCGAGCAACGCCGCGUGAGUGAAGAAGGUUUUCGGAUCGUAAAGCUCUGUUGUAAGUCAAGAACGAGUGUGAGAGUGGAAAGUUCACACUGUGACGGUAGCUUACCAGAAAGGGACGGCUAACUACGUGCCAGCAGCCGCGGUAAUACGUAGGUCCCGAGCGUUGUCCGGAUUUAUUGGGCGUAAAGCGAGCGCAGGCGGUUUGAUAAGUCUGAAGUUAAAGGCUGUGGCUCAACCAUAGUUCGCUUUGGAAACUGUCAAACUUGAGUGCAGAAGGGGAGAGUGGAAUUCCAUGUGUAGCGGUGAAAUGCGUAGAUAUAUGGAGGAACACCGGUGGCGAAAGCGGCUCUCUGGUCUGUAACUGACGCUGAGGCUCGAAAGCGUGGGGAGCGAACAGGAUUAGAUACCCUGGUAGUCCACGCCGUAAACGAUGAGUGCUAGGUGUUGGGUCCUUUCCGGGAUUCAGUGCCGCAGCUAACGCAUUAAGUACUCCGCCUGGGGAGUACGACCGCAAGGUUGAAACUCAAAGGAAUUGACGGGGGCCCGCACAAGCAGCGGAGCAUGUGGUUUAAUUCGAAGCAACGCGAAGAACCUUACCAGGGCUUGACAUGCGAGUGAAGCCGCGGAGACGCGGUGGCCGAGAGGAGCUCGCGCAGGUGGUGCAUGGCUGUCGUCAGCUCGUGUCGUGAGAUGUUGGGUUAAGUCCCGCAACGAGCGCAACCCCUAUUGUUAGUUGCCAUCAUUCAGUUGGGCACUCUAGCGAGACUGCCGGUAAUAAACCGGAGGAAGGUGGGGAUGACGUCAAAUCAUCAUGCCCCUUAUGACCUGGGCUACACACGUGCUACAAUGGUUGGUACAACGAGUUGCGAGUCGGUGACGGCGAGCUAAUCUCUUAAAGCCAAUCUCAGUUCGGAUUGUAGGCUGCAACUCGCCUACAUGAAGUCGGAAUCGCUAGUAAUCGCGGAUCAGCACGCCGCGGUGAAUACGUUCCCGGGCCUUGUACACACCGCCCGUCACACCACGAGAGUUUGUAACACCCGAAGUCGGUGAGGUAACCUUAUGGAGCCAGCCGCCUAAGGUGGGAUAGAUGAUUGGGGUG
rnacentral:rRNA from 1 species